rnacentral:rRNA from 1 species
GACGAACGCUGGCGGCGUGCCUAAUACAUGCAAGUAGAACGCUGAAGGAGGAGCUUGCUUCUCUGGAUGAGUUGCGAACGGGUGAGUAACGCGUAGGUAACCUGCCUGGUAGCGGGGGAUAACUAUUGGAAACGAUAGCUAAUACCGCAUAACAGUAGAUAUCGCAUGAUAUCUACUUGAAAGGUGCAAUUGCAUCACUACCAGAUGGACCUGCGUUGUAUUAGCUAGUUGGUGGGGUAACGGCUCACCAAGGCGACGAUACAUAGCCGACCUGAGAGGGGGAGAGGAGAGGCGGGGGCGGAGAGACGGACGAGACUGGGAGGGGAGGGAGCAGGAGGGAAUCGGGGGGAAGAGAGGGAAGGGGGAGCGAGGAAGGCGGGGGGGGGGAAGAAGGUGGUCGGAGGGGAAAGGGGUGUUGUAAGAGAAGAAGGAGUGGGAGAGGGGAAAGUGCAGAGUGUGACGGUAGCGUAGCAGAAAGGGACGGCUAACUACGUG